rnacentral:rRNA from 1 species
UGAGUAACGCGUGGGAACGUGCCCUUCAGUUCGGAAUAACCCAGGGAAACUUGGGCUAAUACCGGAUACGUGCGAGAGCAGAAAGAUUUAUCGCUGAAGGAUCGGCCCGCGUCUGAUUAGCUAGUUGGUAGGGUAAUGGCCUACCAAGGCGACGAUCAGUAGCUGGUCUGAGAGGAUGAUCAGCCACAUUGGGACUGAGACACGGCCCAAACUCCUACGGGAGGCAGCAGUGGGGAAUAUUGGACAAUGGGCGCAAGCCUGAUCCAGCCAUGCCGCGUGAGUGAUGAAGGCCUUAGGGUUGUAAAGCUCUUUCGUCCGGGACGAUAAUGACGGUACCGGAAGAAGAAGCCCCGGCUAACUUCGUGCCAGCAGCCGCGGUAAUACGAAGGGGGCUAGCGUUGUUCGGAAUCACUGGGCGUAAAGGGCGCGUAGGCGGCUUUGUAAGUCGGGGGUGAAAGCCUGUGGCUCAACCACAGAAUUGCCUUCGAUACUGCAUGGCUUGAGACCGGAAGAGGUAAGUGGAACUGCGAGUGUAGAGGUGAAAUUCGUAGAUAUUCGCAAGA